UCCAAGAUGUAGCUAAUGACCGUGGUUA
rnacentral:piRNA from 1 species